rnacentral:rRNA from 1 species
UGGGGAAUUUUGGACAAUGGGCGCAAGCCUGAUCCAGCCAUGCCGCGUGCGGGAAGAAGGCCUUCGGGUUGUAAACCGCUUUUGUCAGGGAAGAAAUCUUCUGAGUUAAUACCUCGGGAGGAUGACGGUACCUGAAGAAUAAGCACCGGCUAACUACGUGCCAGCAGCCGCGGUAACACGUAGGGUGCAAGCGUUAAUCGGAAUUACUGGGCGUAAAGCGUGCGCAGGCGGUUUUGUAAGACAGAGGUGAAAUCCCCGGGCUCAACCUGGGAACUGCCUUUGUGACUGCAAGGCUUGAGUGCGGCAGAGGGGGAUGGAAUUCCGCGUGUAGCAGUGAAAUGCGUAGAUAUGCGGAGGAACACCGAUGGCGAAGGCAAUCCCCUGGGCCUGCACUGACGCUCAUGCACGAAAGCGUGGGGAGCAAACAGGAUUAGAUACCCUGGUAGUCCACGCCCUAAACGAUGUCAACUGGUUGUUGGGAAGGUUCCUUCUCAGUAACGUAGCUAACGCGUGAAGUUGACCGCCUGGGGAGUACGGCCGCAAGGUUGAAACUCAAAUGAAUUGACGGGGU